UAACGUCUUGAGGUGACCGGGAGUUCC
rnacentral:sRNA from 1 species